AAGUAUGAGGAAAUGGAGAUCU
rnacentral:miRNA from 1 species